rnacentral:misc_RNA from 1 species
AAUCAUCAACCACGAUGCCUUUGUGUGUCCCGUGGCUUGGACUUGGGGAUCUGCUGGCGAAAGUCGGCUUCCCUUGAAUGCAUUAGUCGGGCGCUCUCGCUCCGAGAAGUGUGAUAAACUAUCAUUCACUGAUCGGCGAGGGGCUAUGUCCGGGCUUCCAACCGCAUGAAUGCAUGCACUUUGACAU